rnacentral:lncRNA from 1 species
GUGGUAUGAUUGCCAAUGAGACAGCUCUCCAUAAGAGACCAAAAUGACACCGAAAUUAACAACUAUAGGUCACCUUACGGCCUUCAACAAUGAGCAAAGCCAAUACCAAUAGUCAGAUAUCAAAGGCACAAUGACAAUGUAAAACAAUUCAAAUGAGAAAACUAACGGCCUUAUGUGUGUACAAAAAACAAAUAUAUAACACAUAAACAAACGACAACCAC